GCCCUUAUGUUAGCUAUGGGAUAUCAUGAGAAGGGCAGAGCUUUCCUGAAAAGAAAAGAAUAUGGAAUAGCCUUGCCAUGUCUGUUGGACGCUGACAAAUAUUUCUGUGAGUGUUGCAGAGAGCUGCUGGACACAGUGGAUAACUACGCCGUCCUCCAGCUGGAUAUAGUGUGGUGUUACUUCCGCCUAGAACAACUGGAAUGCCUCGAUGAUGCAGAAAAAAAAUUAAACUUGGCCCAGAAAUGCUUUAAAAAUUGUUAUGGAGAAAAUCAUCAGAGACUGGUCCACAUAAAAGGAAAUUGUGGGAAAGAGAAGGUACUGUUUCUAAGACUCUACUUACUUCAAGGUAUCCGAAACUAUCACAGUGGAAAUGAUGUAGAGGCUUGUGAGUAUCUUAACAAGGCACGUCAGCUCUUUAAAGAGCUAUAUAUUGAUCCGUCAAAAGUGGACAAUUUGUUGCAGUUGGGGUUUACUGCCCAGGAAGCCCGGCUUGGCCUGAGGGCAUGUGAUGGGAACGUGGAUCAUGCGGCCACUCAUAUUACCAACCGCAGAGAGGUACCCACUUUCACAUGCCCUAGCUCUCUUGGGUAUGAAAGAACAAAAAAAGAUAAUCCCACAGGAGUGUUAAUAAGCAGGAACUCUUUAUUACUCCAGAUUGGGAAGGAAGGAGAAACUUGUCUUUUUUUUUUUUUUUUUUUUUUUUGUCGUCCAGGCUGGAGUGCAGUGGCGCGAUCUUGGCUCACUGCAAGCUCUGCCUCCCGGGUUCAAGCAAUUCUCGUGCCUCAGCCUCCUGAGUAGCUGGGAUUACAGGUGUGUGCCACCACACCUGGCUAAUUUUUGUAUUUUUAGUAGA
rnacentral:sRNA from 1 species